UUGGUAAUAGCAGUCAUGUUUCAACAGGAUUAGUGGGAACAUAUGGUUACUGUGCCCCAGAAUAUGCAGUCACCGGCAACCUAACUCCGGAAUGUAAGGUCUACGGUUUGGGAGUGGUCCUUCUGGAACUCAUUUCGGGGCGUAAGGCCAUUGAUAAGAGUCGUUCCCCUGAAACGUGCCAUCUUGUUAAGUGGGCACAACCUAUUUUGAAGGACAUUAGUGAGUAUCAUAGAUUGGUGGAUCCUCUACUUCACGGGUCUUAUCCAGUGGAAUGGCUUAAUCAGGC
rnacentral:sRNA from 1 species